CAGCCGCCACGGGAAUACGUAGGGUGCAAGCGUUAAUCGGAAUUACUGGGCGUAAAGCGUGCGCAGUCGGUUAUAUAAGACAGAUGUGAAAUCCCCGGGCUCAACCUGGGAACUGCAUUUGUGACUGUAUAGCUAGAGUACGGCAGAGGGGGAUGGAAUUCCGCGUGUAGCAGUGAAAUGCGUAGAUAUGCGGAGGAACACCGAUGGCGAAGGCAAUCCCCUGGGCCUGUACUGACGCUCAUGCACGAAAGCGUGGGGAGCAAACAGGAUUAGAUACCCCUGUAGUCCCUGUCUCUUAUAA
rnacentral:rRNA from 1 species